rnacentral:rRNA from 1 species
GAUGAACGCUGGCGGCGUGCCUAAUACAUGCAAGUCGAACGCUGGAGAUCUAGCUUGCUAGAUCGAAGGAGUGGCGAACGGGUGAGUAAUACAUAAGCAACCUACCCACGAAGACUGGGAUAAUCUCUGGAAACGGGGACUAAUACCGGAUAGGUAAUCGGAAGGCAUCUUCUGGUUAUUAAAGGUUAAAAACACUGGUGGAUGGGCUUAUGGCGCAUUAGUUAGUUGGUGAGGUAACGGCCCACCAAGACGAUGAUGCGUAGCCGGCCUGAGAGGGUGAACGGCCACAUUGGGACUGAGACACGGCCCAGACUCCUACGGGAGGCAGCAGUAGGGAAUUUUCGGCAAUGGGGGCAACCCUGACCGAGCAACGCCGCGUGAGUGUAGACGGCCUUCGGGUUGUAAAGCUCUGUUGUAAGGGAAGAACGGUAGAUAGAGAAUAUCUAAGUGACGGUACCUUACCAGAAAGCCACGGCUAACUACGUG